GGGCCGUUGGCUUAAUUGGUUAAAGCUACCGGCUCAUAACCGGUUGAUUACAGGUUCGAGUCCUGUACGGCCCACCA
rnacentral:tRNA from 1 species